rnacentral:lncRNA from 1 species
AAAGGAUGGUGCACAAUCUCACUGCUCCCUACACCUGCAGCACAGGCAUCACUUGGGAAUCUGUUAGGAAUGCAGUAUCUUGGGCUGCAGAUCCACUGAAUUACAGUAUGAAUUUCAACAAGAUCCCCAGGCAAUUCAGGUGCACAGUAAAGUUUGUGAAGAGCCCUGUGGUGAAGAGAUCCAUACAAGUCCCUCUUCAUUUUUAUCUCCUUUAUUUCUGGCAUUCAGAGUCACUGGCUAAGAGUCUAUUUCAGGACAAAGGGCAAUAAAGCCAGACCAGCCUUCUGAACCAGCCUGCCUUUCAGCAUCUGUGCUACAAAGAAUCUUCAGAUACGAAGAUCGGGAUACUUGCGGAGAUGAUUUCAACAAGGUUGUUUAUUCUUCAUUCAACGUGUGCGGGAUUCAGGAGAAUCAUUUGCAUUCUUACAAGAAGGUGCCACCCAGGGCUACCCUUCCCCGUAUUCUCUAGGCGUGGCAUAUUCAUGAAAGGAAGGCAUCUCUUGGAAGUGACAGGAGAUAACAUUCCUGAAGAGUCUACUGACAGGUGCAACCUCAAAGUUCAUCUGAUUCCUGAAAAUAAUUCUUUGCUAGAAGCCAUUGAUGAAAAUGUUUCCACUGGUCAUCUGGAGUCAGAGGUGAUUCUGGGUGGUGGGUCUGAGGUCGGAGGCAUCUAAACUUUUUUUUUUUUUUGCUUUUAGGUAUUUAGACAAUACGUUGUUACUUGAUUCAGGUUGGAGAAGUCAGGCCUCCUGAGAAGAUAAAGCCCAGGACACUUGGC